rnacentral:rRNA from 1 species
UUAAAUUGAAGAGUUUGAUCAUGGCUCAGAUUGAACGCUGGCGGCAGGCCUAACACAUGCAAGUCGAACGGUAACAGGAAGCAGCUUGCUGCUUUGCUGACGAGUGGCGGACGGGUGAGUAAUGUCWGGGAAACUGCCCGAUGGAGGGGGAUAACUACUGGAAACGGUAGCUAAAACCGCAUAACGUCGCAAGACCAAAGAGGGGGACCUUAGG